AAUCAACGCUGGCGGCGUGCCUAACACAUGCAAGUCGAACGCGGUUAUCCCGCAAGGGAUAACUGAGUGGCGAACGGGUGAGUAACACGUGGGUGACCUACCUUCGAGUGGGGAUAACAUCCCGAAAGGGAUGCUAAUACCGCAUAACAUCCCGCCUUUGAACAGGCGGAGAUCAAAGCCGGGGAUCGUAAGACCUGGCGCUUGAUGAGGGGCCCGCGUCCGAUUAGCUAGUUGGGGGGUAAUGGCCUACCAAGGCAACGAUCGGUAGCCGGCCUGAGAGGGCGGACGGCCACACUGGGACUGAGACACGGCCCAGACUCCUACGGGAGGCAGCAGUGGGGAAUUGUUCGCAAUGGGCGCAAGCCUGACGACGCAACGCCGCGUGGAGGAUGAAGGUCUUCGGAUUGUAAACUCCUGUUGCUUGGGACGAAUAGCUUCAACCUAAUACGUUGAAGUGUGACGGUACC
rnacentral:rRNA from 1 species